rnacentral:lncRNA from 1 species
UGAACAUAGUGGAGCAUGUGUCCUUCUUACCGGUCAAAGCAGCUCUUAUAAAAGCAAACAUUUAACUGUGUCUGGCUUAUAGUUUCAGAGGUUCAGUCCAUUAUCAUCAUGGCAGGAAGCAUGGCACAUGCAGACAGACAUGGUGCUGAAGAAGGAGCUGAGAGUUCUGCAUCUUGAUUUGAAGGCAACCAGAAGAGACUCUUUCAGGCAGCCAGGAGGAUUGUCUCAAAGCCCACUUCCACAGUGACACACUUUCUCCCACAAGGCCACACCUCCAAUAAGGUCACACCUAAUAUUGUCACUUCCCAUUAGCCAAGCAUGUCCAAACCACCACAUCCGGGCUCUUCCUCUUGCAGAGUAGAGGUUCCAGUACAUUCCUAACAUCUAGGAAUCCUCCAGAAUGAGGCUGCCCCCAAGCUCUGAGUGCUCCAAUCUGAGUGUCAAGCUAUUUACUUAGCUUCUGUCUUCCCCUUUGCCAGGCCUAGAACAUUCUCUGAUGGCUUGGCUCAUAUUCUCUAAAGCUGUCAGCAUACCCUUGGGAAAAUGAUGAAAACCCUAAUGCGAAACCCAGCAAGGUUCACUUAGAGACCCGUGAGGAUUCAGGCCUGCCUUCUAUAGGUGUGAGGGUUGAACUGUGUGCAACAAAAUAAUUAUGUGGAGCAGAAAGCAAAGUGUCCAUCCUUUGGCUCUAACGUGAGAAAUGAGAAGCAUUAGAUGAUAAAUGCCCUCAUAUUCUUGGGCACUUGCAUACUUGAUCCCCAGUUGGUGAUGCUGUUUGGAGAGGCCUAGUAGGUAUGGGAUGGCUGAAGGAAGUAUGUUACUUGAAACGGGCUUUGGGGUUUCAGAAGCCACACUCUCUGCUUCCCGCUUGUUGUUUGGGAUGUGAGCCCUCAGCUCAGUGUCCAGCUCUAGAUGCUGUGAUUGCAUGAUUGCUGCCUCACUUCCCUGACAUGAUGGAGAAGCAUCUUCCCCUCUGCAGUCACAAGCCCCAGCGAGCCCUUCCUUCCAUACGUUGCCUUGCUCAUGGUGUAUUAUCACAGCAACAGGACAGUCACUAUGCACAAACCAGCCCUUCCUGUACACAGACGGAAAUUAAGACAGCCAUGGUCCUACCCGAUAACACUUCCAGAAUGCUCGGAGCCCAGUGCACAGAAAGCUAGUUGAUCUUUCUGGGAACUCUGUUAUCUCUGAGGGCUGUUAAAGAGUUGACAAGAUUUUUAACCUAAAAUCCCAGGUAGUCAUCAAGCCAGACUUGAAAACAAAGAUAGAAUUAUUGAGGACUGCUUGUUGGUUGGCUUGCUUACCUUCUUGGCAUUUGGGAAGAGCACAGGGAUGAAUCUGAAGUUCAUGCUUCCCUGACUUAUGAACUCAAUCUGCAUCUAAAACCAAAAAAUAUGAAGACUUAAUCCAGGGUCAAAGAUGAGUUGAUGUGUCAACAACACUACCAGCCCACAGGACAACUUUAUUCUGGGUGGUUUAUUUGAGUGCCAAAUUGCUUAAAAUUUUAAGCUUCCUCCAGACACAUUAUGCCACUUUUUCUGUAUAGACCACUAUGAUGGCUAUUGUUGGCUGUCAACCUGAGUACGUCUAGAAUUAACUAAAAACUAAAGAUGGGUGGGUACACAAGUGAGGGAUUUUUGCUUAAUUAACCCAUUCAAAAUGGGAAGAUCCACUUCUAAGCCUGAUCUUUGAGGUGGGAAGAUCCACCUUUAAUCCAGAUCUUUUGAAAUGCAAAAACCCACUUCUAAUUUGGGCCACACCUUGCGCUGGAAGCCUUUAUGAAUGGAAGAAGGAAGCAUUCCUCUCUGCCUGCUUGCUCUCACUCUCACUAGCACAUCCAUUCCUACACUAGAUUAGAGCCUGCUUCUUCAGGAUUCCAGUAUAUACUGAAGAGCAGCUGAGAAAUCUGGCUUCGUGGAUAGAAUAGCUACUGGAUCCUUGAAUCUUCUGUUGGUAGACAGCCAUUUUUAGACUAGCUGGACCAGAACCUUUAAGCCUUUAAGCCAUUCUAAUAAAUUUCCAUAUGGAGAGAGUUCUAUCCUUCUAGAAAAUCCUGAGUAAUACAGCCACUUACUGAAGACCUAUUAAAAUCACUUUCUGCUGGGCGGUGGUGGCGCAUUCCUUUAAUCCUAGCACUUGGGAGGCAGAGGCAGGCAGAUUUCUGAGUUGGAGGCCAGCCUGCUCUACAGAGUGAGUUCCAGGACAGCCAGGGCUACACAGAGAUUGUCUCGGGGGAAAAAAAAAUCACUUUUUGGGGACCAGAAAGCUGGCUAGCAGGUACAGUUGCUUGCUGCCUUGUCUGAGAACCUAAGUCCUAUCCCUGGAGCCCACACGGCGGAAAGAAAGAGAGAACUGACUCCUGCAAGUUCUCCGUGGAUCUCUACUGUUUAGUGACACAAUUUGUUUUCAGUUAGGGUCUCACAUGUAGCCUGUAAUUCACUACAUGGCCCAGGUUGAGUUUGAACUAAAAGCAGUUCUCCUUUGUCAGCCUCCUGAGUGCUGACCUGGGUUUUAAAGAUUAGGAGUAUGCAGGGGCUGGGCCACCUCAGUUUAUAAGAUAAGGCUGGGUGUCCCUCUCUCAGUUCUUUAGUCUAUGGCUUUAUAUUACUUGCUUUCUAUUGCCAAGUAUGAGAGUACUUCUAAUAUGAAAAUGAGUAAAAGCUAAAACCCAGGGUUGGUUGGUUGGUUGUUUAGCAGGGCACCACUGAUACGAUUUGGACAAUCCUCCCAAAGCUAUCGAUCUAGUGAGCAGGCAGGAAGGAAAAUUGCUAACCAGAGGACAGACAGCAGAAGAGUGUGAUGCUCAGGGGCUAUCUGUUCUGCUUCUGGGAGCCUGGAGGACAGUAACAGGAGAGGGAUCCCUGGGCAUGAAGAAGGUUCUGGUCGGGUAGACAAAGGUGGGGGAAAGCGAGGGCAGAGGGCACGCAAGCCUGGAGGAGGUGUGUUGUUCUGACUGCAGCCAUCUAGCAAUUCACUUCUGGGGCACAGUAGGCCUGACAGAGGAGGCUAGGAGGUUAACCAUGAGGAGCCCACUCUGUCAGGCCUGAGGUUCCCUCACCAGAUCAGUCAGACUCUGCUCACCCAAGAGGAUUUACCUACAAGAACUCAAACAAAAUCAGAAUUUUUCAAUACUGAGAGAGUUAAAGUUUUCCAGAUUCCCAAGGCCAGCACAGAGCUUUUAGCCAUCUGAUGCCAAAGAUAAGAGCAAGGCAUUAUGUACCCUGAACAGUGUCAUCCUCCGAUUGAUUUUCAGAGCAGAACCUUUUGUUGUGCAUGAAAAUAAAACUGAGAAGUGAAUGUGGAGGCGCCGACAACCUCACUCUCACAGUGCGGAUCUGCCACCCGGGUCUUCUCAGAGCCAGCUCCCUUCCAAACAGAAGACAACACCAAAAGCAUACACCACAUACUCAGUUCAAGUACCAGCCAUGCCAUCUCGAAGAAAGCGCCUGCAGUCAGGGGCUGAGUUACAGUAGAGGGAGGGUUCAUUCCAGCUUCAAGGGCAGUGUGGGCUACUUGGUCUGUCCACUAGGCUCCUGCUCUGUCAAAGACAAGCCCUCAGCAGUAUACUUUUGUUGUCUCUCAUAAUUUCUUUCAGAGACUGGCUUUCUAAUGGCAUCAUUUGAUUUGUGUAGUAACUACUCAGAUGCCUAGAGGAGGCAAGGAAGUCGGCCUAUCAAUGGGGAGAUACUGAUGGCGCAUCCAGUCCCUUCUGUGACGAGGAGAAGCCAAAGACAUUAGGGCCAAGAAACCAAAUUUGGAGACCACAUGGCUAUAGCUGGCACAGUCAUUGGGUUGAACUGUGUGUAUUACUGGCUGGCUUUUCAAUAUACUAGCACAACUAAACAGGUUUGUCCAGGAACUGGUAGGGACCUGGAGUCCUUCCCAAGUACCAACUGCUGGUUCCUGGGACUGGCAGGUUCUUAGAGAUGUAGACAGAAUGUCAGUAUUCUGGGAAUGUGCAGACAUGAUACAGACAGCUAAGGGAUAGAAAUAUCCAGUCAGUCAUGACCUUCAUGGAUCAGUUUAUUUCUAAGAAUACUAUUUUUCAGACUCCACAGGCUGGCACUGGGUAAGACUGGAUAUGAGGCAGACUUAGCUCCUGACCCUUAGCCAGACCCUUGAAUUUUACCACCUUACCUUAGCUUCCACUUUGGGUUGUAAACUCAAACAAGUGGUUCACACUGACAGAGAUCCUAAAGACUCAGAUGAUAAGGGUGCUGCUUACACACCUUCCCUGCCCUCUACCCACAGGGUGGAUGGUGGUCAACUUUUCUUUCCCCUGGGGAAAAGGUGGCCUGAGGCUACUGACUGUGUCCUGCCCUAUGCUGCUUACUUAGUCCUUGCAGUGAGGUGUGAUGAUCCCCGAUCUCCGUGCAGGAUGAGACUGAAACUGGGUUGUGAGUUCAAGUCCAGUGACUUCCCUGCUCUUUCUCUAAUGUCAGAAUCCUUGGUAAAAAACAAGCCAGAGAAACCAGGGCCACUCUUGCCUUCAGACACACAGUUCCCACAGGACAGUGUGAAAGUCACAGGUCUAGUCUGGCUUCCUAGUUAAAUAGAAAUGGUCUCUAACGUAUCUCUAAAUCUACAAAGGACAAGAUGGCAAGCAGUCCAUAAAACAGCUAGCUCUGAAGCUGGGUAAUAUUUCCUCCAAGUUGUUGAGCAAGUUUGAUUCCUUCUAAAUUCUCCCAUGGUUUAAGUGUAACCAAGCCCCACGGCACAGGUUAGGGAGUAGAAUGUUCCCCACCUAUCACAAAAGAACAAAUAUCUCUUUGGUUAAGUGUUUUCUUGUGCCAAAUGCUUUGAAUAUCACUUCACUUAUCUUCACAGCACCGUGUAUAGUGAUGAUCCAUUUUGUGAACAGGGUUGCAGAAGGGCAGGAUUUAAGAACUUGGGCCAUGGCCACAUAGCCUGUGCUUAGGAGGCUAAUGUGACACAUGCUUUUUUGGCAUGACAGAAGUGUCCUUCCCAAUUUUCACUUGCCUCUCUGAAAAAGGGAGGAACAGAAUGUAACAGCUACAAUGCCCAGCCCACUCCACCACUCUAGCCUCCUAAAACUUCACACUUGUUGGUAAAUAGCCAAGCAAACAAAGCUCUACUUCCUAGAACUUUGACUGAUACCUCUAAGUUACUGGCAGGACCAGUUUGAGUACUGGGUGGAGGAGUGAUGCUGCUUCAUAGGUCUCAAGGUUCAAAAUAUCCUGAGCCAUAGAAAUAACUGUGGCAUCCCCAAACAUCCCAGUACCUUGAAUGAAGAAACAACCCCCCUAGAGAGGGUGCCUGCCCCAGAGGAAGAGCCAGGCGCUGUGGUCCCUCACUCACCAUCCGAUGAAUGUACUUAGUAUGUAAGCCAUGCUCGUCCUCGUCCAGCUGCGACUCAGCGCCUUCCACAUCCUGUUUGUAUUUGGGGCUGAUUGCUACGAUUAUCAUCACUGUCUUCUGUAAUGAGAAGGAGGAAAGCAUGUUUAUGGAAGCAGGAAGCAUGGUUCGUUUGGUGAAGGCCAGCUGGAAACUGGCCAGCAGGACCAUACGCGGUCCCUGACCUGCUGGCCAGUACACGACCAGUCCCUCUGUGAAAGCAAAAGGCAUCAGCGCCGCCCAACCCCCACAGGCCUGCUGUCACCUCUACCCCUCCCCACUGCCUCUGCGCCCAGCACCCACAAACAUGCAGAACAAAUGGUUCUGAGAGGAAUUCUCCUGCCGUCCACAACCUUCUCUAAUAAACAUCUGAUGAAAUCUGAAAUCACUGACUCUGCAUGGAGGCAGAAAGACAUCACCACUGCACGGAAAAGCACCCUUCUUCCCUGCAGCCUGAUGUGAGCUGUCAGUCACCAUGCACCUCCACUGCCCUGCUUCACCUGUGCACAUCAGCACAGUCAGUAGGAGCAGACCCUUCAACACACAGCAAACGCCGGGCUGCAGGCAAAAGGAAGGCAGCAAAACCCAGCCUGCUGAGACUCCCACCCCACCCACUCCUGCCCAAAGAAGUACCCAGACACAGACAUGCUGGCAGCAAUCAAUUUCUAUCUUGUUAAAGCACAGAGUGUCCCAGUGGCUAGUAUAGAUUCUGUCUGUGGAAAACGAAUCACAGGGCUGCAAGUGGGUGCCCUGGGGUAGCAUGCUGCUUAGCUUUCAAAGCUGCCCAGAAACCUCUCAAGCCCAGUCCUACAAAAUGCUUGGAAUGGCCUCCAAUUCAGCUGGGUUCUGCUGCACCCUCCCACCCCCCGCUAUCAUUUCCUCCUUUCCUAUUCUGCUCUAGAAAUUGUUUGUGCUGAUUGUUAUCAACCACCUGUGUCUGGUUUGACCAUUAUUUCCUGCCUCUGCAUGUCCAGGAGGGUGACCCCAUCCUUCCUUUCCAAGUUUUUGCAUAGCUUCUAACAAGAGAGGCUUUGUCCAGGCUUCCUCAGACUCAGACUUGGGGAGAGUAUCAGUGUUUCUACUAUGAAAUAUCUUCACAAGCUAAUUGUUUUUCUCACCAGCACACAUCCUCAGAUUUUUGGAACAUACUUACAUCUCGAAGAUAGCGCUCCAUCCAUUUAAUGAUAUCAAUACCCCGGAUUCUAUCCUCAAAUAUGUCAAUCUACAAGAAAAGGAUGCGCAAAAGAGCUCUUAAUGAGAGCUUUCUCCGAGUGCAGACCUCAAGAAAACACAAGAUCCUACAUACAUGUGCAACCCUAAAAGUAGUGCUCUCAAUAAGGAGGAACACGUGAGACCAAACAGAGAAGCAAAGAGUGUGGAAUGCAUCAGUUAAAAUCUCAAGAAACCCCGAGGCAGAGGAUUAAGAGAUACUGAAGAGAAGAUGAGUCUGUGUGCAUUUAUCUGUGCUUAGCCUGCUCCGAAUGGGAACUCAGCUCUCAAAUGAAGGUGUGUGUGGUAUGUGAUGGUGGAAGUAACCAGCAGCCAGGCAAAUGGCAGAGCGUGGCCCUUUUCCACCUCCAUGUGUAAUAAUUGCAGGACUCCCUUCCCAGACAAGACUGCUCACUCCUGCAGAAAAUGACCUUGUUCUUGAGAGCUGCUGCUAAUUUACAGUGAGGCACUAGGUUUCUACCCAGUGCCACGUGAGCAACCAAUCCAUCUACCCAGGGGCACGGCACUGACGAGCAGCAUCAUUUAGAAGGAAAGAAGUAUGGGUGGUGUUUGUUGUUUCCUGUGUGUUAAGGAAAAUCCAGUGGCUAGCUCCAUGUUUUGUUCACGUGACUCUCAACCUGGUGUGGCCUGGACUCUAGUCCCUGCCUCAAGGAAAGUCCAGACUGACAUAGAAAAUCCCUGCUCACCAGCCUUGACCUUGGGAGAAAGCCCCUGACCUGUGAGUGGACAGAAGGCCUGGUGGUCAGCCCGUGGGAGCCCUGGAGCGUGCACUGCUGGAGCAGCUCAGAAAAAGCUGAGAAGCCAAGACUUGACUGUCAGUCCUGGAGAAUUAGAACAUGCCUGCUAAAUUUCAGUCCACUCUGAGGAAGGGGCAGUGCCCACAAGGAAACCUAGUGGGUGGGGUUCUGGCUGGGACUCAUCUGGAGUUCCCAGGGCAGAUGCCCGGCCCCAGCUUAUAGACCAUGAUGCGGCUGGGCUUCCGUGUCUGAUUCUUAAGUGCCUCAGGUAAACAGACUCUCCUUUGCUUUGCCAGGAGGAAUGACAUUACUAUCAGCAUUGUAAAAGUCUGUGGCCUUUGGGAGAGUAAUUUUACUUCUAAGACUCUCCUCUACAGAGAAGUGUGCACACUGUUCCCAGUGGAGUCUAUAAAGAUAGCAAAGAGCAAAGACUUAAAACAGAAUGGCUCUGGGUUUGAAGUGUUGUGUAUCUAGACAAUGAACAGCCCACCUUUAAACAAGCCCCACAUGGACUGAAGCGGAGGCAGCUCCAAAUGUAUUAGGUGACAGUGCCACAUGGCUCUGUGUGAUGGUAAGAUUAUAUGUGUACAUGUCAUCUCGAAAGGAGAAUUCGGCUUAUCUCUGGGGAGAGAGUCUGCAUCUUUUCUCAUUUGUACCGAGUAUGGAGUGUGUAUCUAUCUCUCUGUCAGAAAUGUCAAGGGAAGGGUUCACCAUUGACCUGAUGCUCACGAAGGUUAGGAACCAAUGCCAACCACAAUGCCCACCUCUACCUUCAGGAGACAGUAAACGCCUUAGAAUACAAAACCCAUAAACAACCAAGACUGUGGUGCCUGCUGGGGCUGGGCCUGAGCUGCACACAGAGGCUAGGUACCGAACAGCUGCCAUGGUAAACUGGCACAGUUAGGCACGCGGCCGGGUUCACACGCCCUCUGCCCUGACUUUAAAGACAGCAGUCUUGGCCCAGCUUCCCUCACCCCCUAUGUAUGAGCAGAGAGCUAUACUUGCUGGGUUUCCAGCUCUUGUAUUUGGACUCCUCUUCUCUUUUCUCUUUUUUGAGAGAGGGUCUCACUGUGUAUUCGUGGCUGCUCUGGAACUUCCUGGACCAGGCUGGCCUUGAUGUAGAUCUCUGCCUUCUAAAAAAUAAAAAUAUGUUUUAUGUGUAUGAGUGUUUUUUCAGCAUAUAUGUCUGUGCCUGGUGCCCUCAGAAGUCAGAGGAGGACAUUGGGUCCCCUAGAGCUAGAGUUACGGGUGACAGUGAGCCAACCCAGAGGUGCUAGGAACUGAACCUGGGUCCUCUACAAGAGCAGUGGCCUCUUAGUCACUGAGCCAUCUCUCCAACCCUCUUCAUUUUCCUCAGCUCACUGUCAGUUUCUCUAUGGCUUCCAAACCUCUAGUUUUUCUUUCCCUCUCCUAGGUCUGAGGCCAAUAUCCUCUACCCUCCCGCAACCCCUGCAGGAUAGGGUUUGCAGAGAAGAUCUUAUCCAGCAGUCGAAAGCGUUGAUACUUGCUGACAAUGUGUGCCCCUGGUGUCCCUCCCACAGAACUGUUCAUGCUCCCCUCUCCAGCCUUUCUCUGUACACAGCUCAGCCAGUAUCCCUGAGCUGCCAUGAGCUCUGCUCAGGUCUUUCCCCAACGUCCAUGUCCUACAGUAGCAUAUCAUACCUAACUCACCAGCGUCUCAGAAAGGAGGCCAGUAGUCUCCACAGCAGCUUUAUGAUCUCACCAGGGCCUCUGUCCUUCUGCUCAUAUUGGCCCCCCUUCUUGCACGUCCA